rnacentral:rRNA from 1 species
UGGGGAAUUUUGGACAAUGGGCGAAAGCCUGAUCCAGCAAUGCCGCGUGUGUGAAGAAGGCCUUCGGGUUGUAAAGCACUUUUGUCCGGAAAGAAAUCCUUGGCUCUAAUACAGUCGGGGGAUGACGGUACCGGAAGAAUAAGCACCGGCUAACUACGUGCCAGCAGCCGCGGUAAUACGUAGGGUGCAAGCGUUAAUCGGAAUUACUGGGCGUAAAGCGUGCGCAGGCGGUUUGCUAAGACCGAUGUGAAAUCCCCGGGCUCAACCUGGGAACUGCAUUGGUGACUGGCAGGCUAGAGUAUGGCAGAGGGGGGUAGAAUUCCACGUGUAGCAGUGAAAUGCGUAGAGAUGUGGAGGAAUACCGAUGGCGAAGGCAGCCCCCUGGGCCAAUACUGACGCUCAUGCACGAAAGCGUGGGGAGCAAACAGGAUUCAGAUACCCUGGUAGUCCACGCCCUAAACGAUGUCAACUAGUUGUUGGGGACUUCAUUUCCUUAGUAACGUAGCUAACGCGUGAAGUUGACCGCCUGGGGAGUACGGUCGCAAGAUUAAAACUCAAAGGAAUUGAC